rnacentral:rRNA from 1 species
AUUGAACGCUGGCGGCAGGCCUAACACAUGCAAGUCGAGCGGAUGAAGGGAGCUUGCUCCUGGAUUCAGCGGCGGACGGGUGAGUAAUGCCUAGGAAUCUGCCUGGUAGUGGGGGAUAACGUCCGGAAACGGGCGCUAAUACCGCAUACGUCCUGAGGGAGAAAGUGGGGGAUCUUCGGACCUCACGCUAUCAGAUGAGCCUAGGUCGGAUUAGCUAGUUGGUGGGGUAAAGGCCUACCAAGGCGACGAUCCGUAACUGGUCUGAGAGGAUGAUCAGUCACACUGGAACUGAGACACGGUCCAGACUCCUACGGGAGGCAGCAGUGGGGAAUAUUGGACAAUGGGCGAAAGCCUGGUCCAGCCAUGCCGCGUGUGUGAAGAAGGUCUUCGGAUUGUAAAGCACUUUAAGUUGGGAGGGAGGGCAGUAAGUUAAUACCUUGCUGUUUUGACGUUACCAACAGAAUAAGCACCGGCUAACUUCGUG